CCUACGGGGGGCAGCAGUGAGGAAUAUUGGUCAAUGGACGAGAGUCUGAACCAGCCAAGUAGCGUGAAUGAUGACUGCCCUAUGGGUUGUAAACUUCUUUUAUAAAGGAAUAAAACGAGGCACGUGUGCCUUUUUGCAUGUACUUUAUGAAUAAGGAUCGGCUAACUCCGUGCCAGCAGCCGCGGUAAUACGGAGGAUACGAGCGUUAUCCGGAUUUAGUGGGUUUAAAGGGAGCGUAGAUGGGUUGUUAAGUCAGUUGUGAAAGUGUGCGGCUCAACCGUAAAAUUGCAAUUGAUACUGGCAGUCUUGAGUACAGUUGAGGUAGGCGGAAUUCGUGGUGUAGCGGUGAAAUGCUUAGAUAUCACGAAGAACCCCGAUUGCGAAGGCAGCUUACUAAACUGUGACUGACAUUGAUGCUCGAAAGUGUGGGUAUCAAACAGGAUUAGAUACCCCAGUAGUC
rnacentral:rRNA from 1 species